CGACGUGUAAAUGGUAGACCUGUGGCCAUCUGCCUCCCAAGCUGUGAAAGUGGACAUCCUCUGCACCGCGGUCCACAGGAAUCUGUUCAGGUCAGACUGCUUCUUUAGCUCUGAGGUAACAUACAGAUAUUAGAUGUUAUAACAUGGAGGACGAUGUUGAUAUAGGCAUACAUCAUGUAUAUAUGCGUUUUACUGGCUAGGCUGUAGUUGUGUUUUGAGGGGUUUGAUUUGCUCCGUGUUCUAUUCAAAUCCAUGGAAUGGUGAGCCCCGCGGUAACAGGAUUAUAAACCUCCUGAAAAGUGAAGCUGAAAGAGCAACAGCCAUCUGCAUACUGGAGAUCACGGGAAGCCUUCUUUAGCCCUCAGACCGCGUCUCCGUCUGGUGGGCAGUGCUGUUGGAGGGGCUGCUGGGGCAGAGCUGGCUCUGGGCCUUGGGUUAGGUCACAGAAACUGCAGCUUAAAGACAUUGGUUUCCAUCGUCUCUACACUUCAGUCCUGGCAGCAGCAAAGAGGAGGACGGUGAACACACAGGAGGAGGAGCUGCGAGAACAGACGUGGAAUGACAGCGCCGAAGGCUGGCCAGAUGACCAACUCGAAAACAGGUUCCACCCCAGAGGUGAAGCUUUAGAGAGAAACCGGCUUGAUAAUUUUCAACAUAAAAAGCUGGAGAAAAAUACUACUGUCUUUGUAGAAGAUACACACAGAUACAUACAUGCAAACUUGCAGAAUGGGUGUCAGCAGCUUGCAAAAAUAUCCUGGAGACAAUAGCGGAGCACUCCCAAGAAAUAUUGCAUCAUCAAUGCUCUUCCUGGUAUGGAGGCUGAUAUUGUGUGUAAAAUCAUAGACAUCAAUAACUCAAUCAGACCAAGAGGUAAAGAAUUUUCAAGAACAUUUUAACAAAUCUAUUUUGUUUAUAUUUUCAUUUUUGUGUAUGCUUGAGUGUUACAUGAUAAACAUGAUGUCUAAGUAAUCCUUAAAGAGCU
rnacentral:lncRNA from 1 species